CCUCUCUAAUACAUGUGGAGAGACAUCCAAGUUCCAUGGCUUUAUCACAGACUAAUGGAGAAAACCACUCUGGAAGGGGUUAUAUCACUUUGGAGCUGGGAGGAAAAGAACUACAAAACAUAGCCCUGGCUCAAGGAGCACGUCUUAAUUCUCCAUACAGCAGAGGUCCAACCUGGAGAUUAGAAAAAUGUAAAGCUGGAAGAGCUGCAAGUUGCAAAGAGAAAACAUCUCCACAGAUCAAAGGUCUCCUUGAAAACCUCAACAUUAGUUUAGAUGGAAGGGAAAGGAAAGGAAAAAAGUGGUCUCCACCAGGUUACUCUAAACCUGACAGAAACAGUGCAGACUGCCUUGAAGGUCUUAGAGUGAAUGGGUCUUCUCAUACACAAGAUUGUUUACAGCUCUCCUUGCCUUCGGUAUCAGAGGGAAAGUAUGGGCAAUCCCCUGAAAAAUAUCAGAAUUCUAAAUCAUUAAGUGAACACCGACUGCGCCUGGCUACACUACCAACGGCAAAAGGGCCCAAGACAAUUUUACUGAAACAAUGCAAAGAUGGAGAAGCGUCAAGUUCUGCGACAUUACCACAGACACAACCAAAAAUGUCAUCAAAAGCUUCACUGUGUCAAAGUGGGAGCAAAUUUAUUUCUAAGAGACGGAAAAGUGAGGGGCUGAAUUGCCAGACUUCAGUGCAAGAUGUUUUAGCUCCAAAUGAGAGGAUUUCUUUCCCUGCUUAG
rnacentral:lncRNA from 1 species